GGCUUUGUAAUAUCUUCAGAAGUGAGAAGCAGAGGCUCCAAACAGGCCAAGAGAGGGCUCACUCUCUGCAUGGGACUUCACACAGCUUUCCAGGUCGCUGUGGGGUGGGGUUGGGGUGACUGUUUGUCCUCACGGUCCUCAUGGUCUAGAGGAAUGGAGGGGAGGCUGCUGGGGGAUCCGAGAGGCCAGUACUGAGGUAGGCUGUGGGCAAGCUGAGACGCCCCCAGCGCUGGAAGAGGCCGAGGGUCUCCUCUGCCCUGGGAUGAGAUUCUCCUGCCCAGAGUCCGAGCUAAAACCCUGCUAGGGUGGCACCUAGGUUGCUUGAAGGGCAGCCACAGAGCGCUUUGUCAGCCUGCAGAGACCUCAGCAGCGUGGAGGGAAGAGGAUUUUCAUUUUCCUGUUUCUUGGAUGCCUUCUCAGAUGCCCUGGAUGAGAUCCAUCCUCAUUUCCCCUGGCUCUUCCCACCUCAUUGGGACACACAAGAUAGAACAGCAGCACGGAGCAAGGUCUCAACGGCCCUGGCAGGUCAAAGAGUUACAGUGCGGAGCACAGUCCAAGAACACCGUCAUAUGACCCGAGGACGGGGGAUGUCCCCGGCACCAGCACCAGCUCUUCCAAUUGACUCCUGUAUUACUUGGGGCGAUCCUAAGUGCCCUACCACACCGCCAUCUUUUAGCACAUGGAAGUCGGUUCAUUGUGCUCAGGUAUGGGACUGGCAUGAGUGGUGGUUGUUUGUGCCUGGCAGGUGCUUGGCAAGUGCCACCUCC
rnacentral:lncRNA from 1 species